rnacentral:lncRNA from 1 species
AAGACUCAGCCUGGGAAGUCACACACUGUCAUUUCUGCAAUAUCUUAUCUGUUACAUAGGUCAGCCUCAUUUGCUGUGGGAGGGGGACUAUAUGUGAUCAUGAAUACCAGGAGGCAGGAUUCAUUGGGGCCAUCUUGAAGGCUGGCUACUGUAGGAUGUGCCAUCUGCCACUUUCAUGCUUGGUCCAUAAAAAUCUCUCAUGUGCUCCUUCAAUCUCCUUUCCUGUUCCAGCUGGCUGAAAUGAAAUGACUCCCAGGGAAACUUGGAACCCAUGUGUUGAAGGUGGUAGCACUUCCAUCAGCCUGGGUCCUGAGUGCCUGCAGGAGGAUAUCCUGUGGAUCCAUGUACCUGCUGAGGACUACAAGCAUCUACUGAGUGCUGAUAUAGCUUGGAUAAGUGUCCACACCCAAAUCUAAGUUCAGCAUGAUUUGAGAUUGAAGGUGAAGCCUUGACCAGUGACUCAUGGGAUUGGUGGAUAAAUACUUCAGCUCUCUUGAUCCACAAGCAAGAUAAUUCUGAGGCUUGUGUUCUGCGGUGGGACUACGCUCUGGUUGCCCACAGUGGUAACUGGCAUAGUAUCAUACCCUUUAUUGGCUGCCUUCCCUUCCCGGUCUUACUUCCCCACUCUCCUACUGGGAUCAUCUUUCCAGCAAAUAAUUUGCAUGUAAAUCUUUGUCUCAGGGACUGCUUCUGGAAUGACAAAAAUGAAGACAGCUAAGGGUGAAAACCUGUUCUAUAAUAACAUUCAAGGGAUGGUUGGCAAAAGAGAAGCCCAUGACGGAACUAGGGAAGGAAUAGAGAGAGGUAGCAAAAAGCUGUGGUCUGAAAACCCAAAGUAAAGGACAGUUUCCUGAAUGAGGUAGGAGGAAACAGCAUCCAAUGCUAUGGAGAUGAGAUGCAAAAUGAACUGGAAACUGUCCAUCUGAGUUGGCAUCUAUGAGGUGCUAGGUGACCUCUGCCAGCAGAUUUUUGGUUUAGUAUUGGAAGAUGCCAGAUG